rnacentral:rRNA from 1 species
GACGAACGCUGGCGGCGUGCCUAAUACAUGCAAGUCGAGCGAACUUUUUCUGGUGCUUGCACUAGAAAAACUUAGCGGCGAACGGGUGAGUAACACGUAAAGAACCUGCCUCAUAGACUGGGACAACUAUUGGAAACGAUAGCUAAUACCGGAUAACAGUAUUUCUCGCAUGAGAGAUAUUUAAAAGUUGGUUAUGCUAACACUAUGAGAUGGCUUUGCGGUGCAUUAGCUAGUUGGUGGGGUAAAGGCCCACCAAGGCGACGGUGCAUAGCCGACCUGAGAGGGUGAUCGGCCACACUGGGACUGAGACACGGCCCAGACUCCUACGGGAGGCAGCAGUAGGGAAUCUUCCGCAAUGGGCGAAAGCCUGACGGAGCAACGCCGCGUGAGUGAAGAAGGAUUUCGGUUCGUAAAGCUCUGUUGUUAGGGAAGAAUGGAUAUGUAGUAACUAUACAU